UGUGUGUGUGUGUGUUAGCGUACACGUGCCUUAAUAUUUUGUUUGUUUGUUUGUUGUCUCUGUAAUUUCUUCUUCAAAACAAACAAAUUCUCAGUAACAACAACAAUAACAACAAGAACAAGAAGUGGAGCGGAGCAAAACAAAGUCAACAUUUCGAGACGAGUGUUGUGUCACGUUACUCUCUCGUUGGUCACUGUUGUUGUUGUUGUUGUUGUUGUUGUUGUCGAUGGUGUUGUUGGUGGUGGUGUUGUAAGCUCACCACCAGCCAUGCAAUUCCUUUAAGUAAAUAAGUAAUUAAAGAUUUAAGUAGUGCCAAAACUAUUACACUCAUAUUAUCUAGAAGUGAAGCUUAAGUGCCAUAUUACUAUUACUAUUACUACUGUUACUACUACUGUUACUAUUACUACUAUAACUACUACUACUACUACUACUAUUGUUACUAUUACUAUUAGUAUUGUCAUUAUUAGUAUUAUUGUUAAAAGUUUACACCAUUUUCGUUUCCAUUAAUCAAAAUUCACUUAAAUUACUUAUAAACUACUUCUAUACUUAUAAUCUACUACUAAUCAUUCACUUUUCCAACAGGUAUACAAAACACAUACUCUCAUUUGACUUACUAAAAAAUUGUUAUGUUUUACUACUUAAUUUAAACUCAAUACUCACUUAAACUACUUAUAUACUACUUCUAUACUACUUCUAUACUUAUAAUCUACGACUAAUUAUUCACUUUUCCAACAGGUAUACAAAACACAUACUCUCAUUUGACUUACUAAAAAAAAUUGUUGUUUUACUACUUAAUUUAAACUGAAAACUCACUUAAACUACUUAUUUACUACUAAUUUUGUACUUUUCUAACAGGUAUACAAAAACAACUACCUUUAUUUCACUACUUACUAAAAAAAAAUCAUUAUAUUAUACUACUUAAUCUAAACUCAAAAUUCACUUAAAUUACUUAUACACUAUUUCUAUAC